rnacentral:rRNA from 1 species
GACGAACGCUGGCGGCGUGCUUAACACAUGCCAGUCGAACGGAAAGGCCCCUUCGGGGGUACUCGAGUGGCGAACAGGUGAGUAACACGUGAGUAUCCUGCCCUUGACUUCGGGAUAACUUCAGGAAACUGGGGCUAAUACCGGAUAGGAAUCCUUGCUGCAUGGUGGGGGUUGGAAAGCUUCGGCGGUUUGGGGUGGACUCGCGGGUUAUCAGCUUGUUGGUGGGGUAGUGGCUUACCAAGGCUUUGACGGGUAGCCGGCCUGGGAGGGCGACCGGCCACCAUGGGACUGGGGAAGGGACCAGACUCCUACGGGAGGCAGCAGUGGGGAAUAUUGCACAAUGGGCGGGAGCCUGAGGCAGCAACGCCCCGUGCGGGAAGACGGCCUUCGGGUUGUGAACCGCUUUUAGCAGGGGCGGAGCCUGUGGUGACGGUACCUGCAGAAGAAGCACCGGCUAACUACGUG